UGAGAGAGAUAGUGGCCCACGCGCCGUCGUAGAGUGCUCACGCGCAGAGAUCUGACGAUUGAGUUUGAGAACAAUAUGGUCGUGAAUGGCCGGCCGUUGAAGCGAAUGAAGCGGCGAGUCACAGCCGACGUGAACGACUUCUUCACCUUCCCGUCCGGCGAGUCGCCGGUGGACGGGCCGUUCCGGAACAGCGUGAAGGCGUUCGUCUCGAAGUACGCGCUGCUCCCGCCGCCGUCGUCGCUGUUGCCGCAACUCAUGACGCGCCAGAUCGUGUUCCGAGUCGGCGACUCGGCCGAGUCGAACUCGGACGGGGAUGAUCUAGCCACUGUUUGUCUUGACGUCGUCGAGGAGAACGUGGCGAGAUCUAGAUCCGUGUAUUGCGAUCAGUGCCGAGUCGUUGGUGAGUUCCUUAACUGACCGAGUCACUGAACGAGUCAGUAGUUGGCGGGAAAUACGAGAAUAGUUAAUGCUGCUUUUUUUUAGCAAACCAAUCUGUUUACUCAUUUCCGGUAUAAUAAUUAAAAAACUAUAUAAAUAAAAUAUUAAUAUAUAAAUAAAUAAAUUAAUAUUGGACGGAUAUGAUAGAAGUACUAAAACAAUGAGUGAGAUAAAAUAAUUAGAUAUACAUGGUGGGUCCCUUGUCUAACUUAUCUUGUUUCUUCCUUUUGGCCCCACUUUUAGUUUGGUAACAUGUAGCCUGUAGGUGGGAUAUUUCAUAUUUUUCGACACGUAUCAAUAAUAAUUUGCCAUUUUUUACCUCUAUUUUUAUUAUAUUAUUUAUUAUUAAUCUAUAUGCUUACAAAAGUCAAAGAUGACAUGGACCGCUGACAACAAAUUAACCUGAUGGAAUGGACCUUGUGUAUAUAUUACUCCCUCCGUCAUCCGUCAUCCGUCCCCUGAGUUGUAUACAUUGGGGGACGGGGACGCGGCACGGACUUUAAUGCUCCUGCAAAGUGUAGUUGUGUAAUUUAUUUUUAAAAUUUUUCUUUUCUGAAUUAAAGUUUGGAUGUUAUAUUUUUAUACAGAAAAAGAAAAUCUCAAAAAUAAGUUACGGAACUAUAUUUUAUAAGAGCAUUGAAAUGCGUGUCGAGCAGUUAAAAAGAAACGUAUAGAAUUAAAUGGGACAGAGUAGCCUUUGGCAUAUGUAUCAUCAUAACUUUUUUUUUUUUUUGCUAAAUUGUAUCAUCAUAACUUUGCACUUAACACAAACUACCAUAAAGGGAUUAAAAAUAGAUUAGGCGGAUUGUAGGCCAAUUCUAUCAGAUAUUAAUAAAACAAUUAAUAAAACAAUUUAUCAAGAAUUUUUCUUCACCUAAGCAAUGUUCCAUCCAAAGAUCCGAUAAAAACACAACAUUGUCAAUGAACACUAAAACAUAUAUAGCUAACAGCUUUAUUUUCCAGGUACCUAAUAUAUUUUGAAUCUGAAUUUAAAUUAAUAAUUACAUAAUCAAAAUUAAUCUAAUAUCUGGUUAAAAGCUAUAUAUUUGUUACUUUAUAUAUAAUGUAAUGAUAUAAUAUUCAAAAUAUUAAUUUUAAUUUUAAUAUUUUUAAAAUAUAAGAUAAAUAUAUAUAUUCGUAUUUAUUAUUACUGUUAGUGUUUUUACAUUAAUACUCAAGUCUAAAAAGAUUUUCACAAAACACGAUAAUUUUUUUAAUUUUUUAAAAAAAUUAUAUCUAUUUAAAAAGUUAUCAUUUUUUUGAUUUUUGUACAAAAGUUUAAUUCAAAACUUCGCAACAGCAUGUGCAAUGCUAAUAAGUAAUAACCAUAUCGCAACAACAACAGACUUAUUUAAACAAAAAAAGCCCGCGGAGGGUCCAUAUAACAACCAUGGAGUUUAACUUUUAACCAAUUAAAUUUUAAUCUAAAAAAUAAAACCAUGCCUAGACCCGGUAGAUUUAACUUAGUAUGUGAAAUUAUAUCAGUGAUCAAAAACUUGUAUUUUUUUAUGAAAAUUCAAGACACCCAUAAUUUUGAUCAAAUCAAACAUUCUAUGAGAUAAUUAGUUUUAAUUCUUAAUAUUAAAUUGUUUGAUACAAAUAAGCUUUUAAUAUUUCUUAUAAAAAAAAAUGAUUUAACUAUAUUUUUUGUGAAUACAAAUCACUCACUCAUGUAACAUGAAUAUUAAUUUUACACUUUAACUAAUAAACUUUAAUUGCAAAAAGUUUUUUUAUCUAUCAAUUUAAAAUAAACUAUUGUUUAUGAGAAAAUAAAAGAUACCAAGGAAAAUGUGUCUUAAAAAUUUACUAAAAUCGUAAUAAUCACAGUAAAUUUUCUAUAAGUUAAUAACGUACGAGUCAAUAAAUUUUCUUAGAUUAAAUAUAUACUAUUAUUAUUAUAUAUGAGGACCAAAAUUAUGUCAAAUAUUGACUUUUAUAAAUCAUUAAUUAAUUAAUUAUUGAUUGAUCAAAGUUAUUAAACUAACAAAAAAUUGUCUAUAAUUUUCUUUUUAUAAACUUGUGUAUUAAUAGACUCAAGCUUUUAGUUGAUUGUCUUAACAGCUUCAAUAUGAAACGCUUCCCUCCUCUUUUAUAUUUUAAUAUUUACAUUUUUGAAUUCACUUUACUCUCUCACGGCAUUCGGUGCAGGCACGCGUCACACGUGUGACCGCUACACAAAAGAAAAGGAAAAACAAUGGGCAGUUGCUGACAGCUAAUUCAAUGGGCAUAUUUGUAAUUUCCUUCCAAACAUAUCCUUUUCUGACCCAUUCAAAUUAUGGAUGCAAAAUCAAAUUUCCCAUUUUUAACUCUUUAGUCAAUUUACAAUACUACCCUUGAAAGUUUAUGUUUAUUGACAAUAUUGCUUUCAAACAAGAAAAUUAAAAUCUUAAUUUGGAUGAAGUAACUAAACUAAGUUACAACUCUUCCCGUGUCAAUGAAAAACUUAAUUUGAUUUAUAUUUUUGAUUUAGUGACUCCUCAUAUUAUUCUCUACAUGCAUCAUUAUCGAUAUCUUAAUAGAGCACUUGUAUAACUAGCAAAUACACACUGAAUAAAUUUAUAAAAAAUAUCGACACGUGUUUAAAUUUAUUUUCAUAUUAAAAAAGACUUUUUUGAAAUAAAGGAUGGUCAGAUGUUAUUAUGUCUCCUAUUUCCAAGGCUAAUAUGAUAAAUCCCAAGAAGGGGUAUUUCUGUAAAUUUACAAACACUAGACUUAGCUAUUAAGAUUCAAAACGUAAAAUAAUGAUAAGGAAAAAAAAAACCUCAACCAACUCCUCCACAUUCUACUCUCUUCUUAAACCGACUCUGCCCAAGUCAUACCCCUUCGCUUUUUAUUUAUUUUCGUUCACGCUUCCCCGUAAAAACCAAAUAAAUUAAAAUUAUAUUUAUACACAUAAAUAUACAUCUAAUGUUCCAAAAAAGCCCCAAUUUUCUCAAACCCUAAUCUCGAUUUCCCCCUCUUUCACUCCCCCUCUCUUUGCGCCGCCGAUUAGUCUUUUUAUUCUUUCGAUUUCUCCACCGUAAAGUUAUUGAUUUCACUAGAUCUGAAGAAGUGUGAGAGAGAUAGUGGCCCACGCGCCGUCGUAGAGUGCUCACGCGCAGAGAUCUGACGAUUGAGUUUGAGAACAAUAUGGUCGUGAAUGGCCGGCCGUUGAAGCGAAUGAAGCGGCGAGUCACAGCCGACGUGAACGACUUCUUCACCUUCCCGUCCGGCGAGUCGCCGGUGGACGGGCCGUUCCGGAACAGCGUGAAGGCGUUCGUCUCGAAGUACGCGCUGCUCCCGCCGCCGUCGUCGCUGUUGCCGCAACUCAUGACGCGCCAGAUCGUGUUCCGAGUCGGCGACUCGGCCG
rnacentral:lncRNA from 1 species